AUAGCACUGUUAAACCCUAGCACUAUCAGAAUGCCUUACAGGAAAAUGAUUUCUACCUCCAAAAGAAUGUUCUUACCAUUUUCCAAAUUCGUCUGGAAGUAUCUGAAUCUCACCACUACAUUGGUAAUGAUGAAACCUAAGGAUGAGUAUUGAUAAUAGCUGAAAUUGCUGUUAGGAGCAGCAGCUAAGCACUUCCCCUUUGGAUAGCACUGUGGUGUUUCUGAUAACCCUGGAAGGAAAAAAGGAAAAAGUGACCCAAGGAAACAAAAUCAGGUAAUACUUAAAUUGGAUCAGAUCUAAGAGCUGAGGAUUUUUAAA